CAAACUGCGAAUACCGGAGAAUGUUAUCACGGGAGACACACGGCGGGUGCUAACGUCCGUCGUGAAGAGGGAAACAACCCAGACCGCCAGCUAAGGUCCCAAAGUCAUGGUUAAGUGGGAAACGAUGUGGGAAGGCCCAGACAGCCAGGAUGUUGGCUUAGAAGCAGCCAUCAUUUAAAGAAAGCGUAAUAGCUCACUGGUCGAGUCGGCCUGCGCGGAAGAUGUAACGGGGCUAAACCAUGCACCGAAGCUGCGGCAGCGACGCUUAUGCGUUGUUGGGUAGGGGAGCGUUCUGUAAGCCUGUGAAGGUGUGCUGUGAGGCAUGCUGGAGGUAUCAGAAGUGCGAAUGCUGACAUAAGUAACGAUAAAGCGGGUGAAAAGCCCGCUCGCCGGAAGACCAAGGGUUCCUGUCCAACGUUAAUCGGGGCAGGGUGAGUCGACCCCUAAGGCGAGGCCGAAAGGCGUAGUCGAUGGGAAACAGGUUAAUAUUCCUGUACUUGGUGUUACUGCGAAGGGGGGACGGAGAAGGCUAUGUUGGCCGGGCGACGGUUGUCCCGGUUUAAGCGUGUAGGCUGGUUUUCCAGGCAAAUCCGGAAAAUCAAGGCUGAGGCGUGAUGACGAGGCACUACGGUGCUGAAGCAACAAAUGCCCUGCUUCCAGGAAAAGCCUCUAAGCAUCAGGUAACAUCAAAUCGUACCCCAAACCGACACAGGUGGUCAGGUAGAGAAUACCAAGGCGCUUGAGAGAACUCGGGUGAAGGAACUAGGCAAAAUGGUGCCGUAACUUCGGGAGAAGGCACGCUGAUAUGUAGGUGAAGUCCCUCGCGGAUGGAGCUGAAAUCAGUCGAAGAUACCAGCUGGCUGCAACUGUUUAUUAAAAACACAGCACUGUGCAAACACGAAAGUGGACGUAUACGGUGUGACGCCUGCCCGGUGCCGGAAGGUUAAUUGAUGGGGUCAGCGCAAGCGAAGCUCUUGAUCGAAGCCCCGGUAAACGGCGGCCGUAACUAUAACGGUCCUAAGGUAGCGAAAUUCCUUGUCGGGUAAGUUCCGACCUGCACGAAUGGCGUAAUGAUGGCCAGGCUGUCUCCACCCGAGACUCAGUGAAAUUGAACUCGCUGUGAAGAUGCAGUGUACCCGCGGCAAGACGGAAAGACCCCGUGAACCUUUACUAUAGCUUGACACUGAACAUUGAGCCUUGAUGUGUAGGAUAGGUGGGAGGCUUAGAAGUGUGGACGCCAGUCUGCAUGGAGCCGACCUUGAAAUACCACCCUUUAAUGUUUGAUGUUCUAACGUUGACCCGUAAUCCGGGUUGCGGACAGUGUCUGGUGGGUAGUUUGACUGGGGCGGUCUCCUC
rnacentral:rRNA from 1 species